GAAAUGCUUUUGGUAUUCAUGCAUUUCUUUCCCUUGUAGCUCAUGAGUGCCAGCUGUGUGCCCAACACCAUGCUAUGCUGGUGGCCAAGGCCCUGCCUGCAUAGAGAAUAUCAUCUGGGGAGAAUUCAGACAGCAAGAACCAAGUGUGAAGAUUAUGACCAAACGAGCAGCACUGGGUCCAGGCCCACGGUGCUAGAAGCCAAUAUUCACUUUUCAGCAGAGAAACAAUUGGGUCUGAACCAAACCAGUAGGAGCAGUGAGGACUGGCAGAGAGAUCUACUUCACCUUCUAUUUGGUACCCCUUUGAGUCCCCAGAGCCACCAAAAAUGACUCUCACUCCAAAGAGGAAGAAGAGCAAUCCAGAGAUGGUGUUUUUAAGAGCGUCAACUGUGGAAGACCUGGGCCCUACCUUAGACCCCCUGAAUCUAUGGGAGUGGAGCUGCAAAUCCUUUGAAUGCAUACUAAUUUUGAGAACUAUUGUUCUGGAUGUUUUAAGGAAGUGAGGAGGAAGUCAUCUCAUUCAGUGAGAUGGUCUCCAACAUCUCAAAAACCUACUCCCCAGAUGGCUGACAUCUCCAGGUGGAGGGUCAUAAAGCAGAAGCAAGAGUGUGUAGCUGGGAAACUCAUUAUUCCCCCACUCACCCAGGGAAGUUGUCUUCAACUUUCACCCACAGUGGUGAAUAGGUCCAUUGAGUUUGUCAUCUCCAACAGGUUGGUAGGAACUGUUUGAAGUGCUGUGUUGUAGAUUCUGAGUCCACUGUUUGACUCAAUAGGAAAGAGAUUUCUAACCAAUUAUCAGCGUCAGCCAUUGACCCUCCAUGUGGGCAUACCCUUUAUACUCUUGCUACCCAUCACUGCCUUGCUUCAGCCUCCAUUGUUUUCAGGAAGGAAGGAAAGGCAUGCCUGCAAAUGUCUAACUCGGCUCCAACUCUGAAGAGGAUGUAGGGUUGGAUAGGAAGUAAGCAGCUUUUAAGAUUAUACCAUUGUGAGUUUGCCUGCUUUGUAGGGAUCUGUCUACUUUUGCAUCUCUCCCCUAUGGGACAGAUCAUUGAAAAGUGUGGUCUAAGAAGGGAAAAUAAAAGCAGAUUCUUUUUGAAGUAAAGCA
rnacentral:lncRNA from 1 species